AAGCCUACCCCUACCCCCUCUACCCCAUCAACCCCAUCAUCAAAGGGUAAGUGCCCAAAUGACACACUUAAGCUAAAUGUGUGUGCCAACUUGUUGAAUGACUUGGUGCACCUUGUUAUUGGAAGUAGCCCAGCCAAAACUGAAUGCUGCUCUUUAAUUCAAGGACUUGCUGAUCUUGAUGCUGCUGUUUGCCUUUGCACUGCCAUUAAAGCCAAUGUGUUGGGAAUUAAUCUCAAU
rnacentral:lncRNA from 1 species